UCUGUGUGUUUGCAUAUGUGUCCUGCCUCUCUGCUCCCAGCCGUUAAGAGGCCAGUGUUGAUCAGUGGCUGUCCAGGCCUUUCAGAGCCACGGACACGCCGUCAACACAAUGAUGAUGUCACUGAUUGGACUGCUGGCCACCCUGGGGCUCCUUGUUCACGGUUCAUCAGGACAAAUCAUCCUGACUCAGUCUCCUGAAUCUCAGUCUGUUGUUCCAGGACAGACUGUCUCCAUCAGAUGUCAAACCAGUACAAGUGUUAGUAACUACCUCAACUGGUACCUUCAGAAAACUGGAGAAGCUCCUAAACUCCUGAUUUAUCUUGCUACAAACCUUCAGUCUGGAGUUUCAGAUCGUUUUAGUGGAAGUGGAUCUGGGACUGACUUCACUCUGACCAUCAGAGGAGUUCAGGCUGAAGAUUCAGGAGUUUACUACUGUCAGCAGGGUUACAGCUUCCCGUUCACACAGUGAUACAACGUCGUACAAAAACCUCCCUCAGCUGGAGAGGAACUGAUCUGACUCAACAGCUGCACUCAAACUAAAACAACAGGUUCCACUAAAAGAAUGAAUAAUAAUAACUGACUUUGAAGGUUUGGACACUAAAUCUAGUGUAUUUAAAAAG